rnacentral:lncRNA from 10 species
UAAAAGUUGGUGGCAUCUCCCUUUUUGCUCUCUUGCUCCUGUUCUGGCCAGGUGACUGUGCCUUCUACCCUUUUGCUUUCCACCAUGAUUGUAAGUUUGCUGAAACCUCCCCAGAAGGUGCACAGAUGCCAGCAUCAUGCUUUAGUAGAGCCUGCAGAACUAUGAGCCAAUUAAAACCUCUUUGCAUUUUAAAUUACACAAUCUCAUGUAUUUCUUUCUUUUUUUAAAAACAGGGUCUUGCUCUGUCGUCCAGGCUGAAGUGCACUGGCAUGAUCUCAGCUCAUUGCAACCUCCACCUUCUGGGCUCAAGCAAUCCUCUUACCUUAGCCUCCUGAGUAACUGAGACCACAAGCAUGCACCACCAUACCAGAAUUUGCUCUAUCCUCAACGUUGCAAAAUGUCUGGGCAUAGGCUGUGUUGCAUUUCUCACGUACAGUAUGAGCAGAGAAGCUUACCCAUUCUGUUGCAGCAGGUCCAGAGAAGUCUCACUGAAGUGCUUUGGUUUUUAUUGAAUUGCAUGCUUAUUAUGUCUGGACAAGAAGAUGUGUACAUGAAGAGGAUGUUUUGAUAGGCCUGACCUGAGAGCUGUAUGCUCACAAUAAAAGCUAGAGACACAGUCAUUUGACAUUAAAACAACUGAGAAAAGAUGAUGAAUCUUGAGAAGAAAUUGGGAUAUUAUGUACAAAAGAGGCGUUAUAAUACUUUAUGGCCAAAACGAAAACAAAAGAAAAAAAAAGCAAGAAAACAAACAAAAUCAAAAAACAAAAAAACUAGCAAUGUUCCACCAUAAAGUUUAAAUGGAUCUUACUUUGGUUCAGACUUUAGAAACGAUUGACAUCUGGGUUAUGUAUAUUUCACUUCCCACGUUCUGCACGGUAAUCUUCUAAACUUUAGCAACUUAUCUUAUUAAUUCCUUUAGGCUUGAUAUGAAGCCUGCCCCAGAUAAGUGCCUCAUAAAAGAAGAAUAAACAAAUGAAUGAAUAAAAGCAAAUGCCAUACUAUAGACUUUUGAGUAAAAAGAUUUUCUCUACAACAUAUUAAAAGAAUGAACCAGCAGAACAAACUUCAAACUUUAAAACAAUGUUGUUUAAGUUAGUCAUGUCUGAGAUGAUAAAUAAAUCAACAGGAGAAAAGUGAACUUCAAAACAUGUAUCUUUAGGAGGAUUUGAAUUGGAAAACCACUGACACUUAAUUGCUAAAGUGACUUUGACUAGUUAUUCAUCUAUGGAAUAGGAAGAAAACUUACUUGAUCGUGUUGGCAUGAUGAUUAAACAUGACUUAUGUACAUGCAAGUGCUGAGCACUAGUCUAUAACCUCUAUGGGCAUUGCGAUCACUAUGACAUAUCCAGAGACUAGCUCAAUUUCUAGUACAUUGGAGGCACUUGAUAAAUGUUUCCUUAAUUUGAAAUCUGAGAACAGGACAUUAAGGUGAGUUAUCCUGUUUUCUUUCUUUUCUCCCCACUUCACCUCUAGAGUGUGUGUGUGUGUGCACGUGUGUGUGUGUGCACGUAUGUGUGUGUUUGAGAGAGAGAGAGUGAGAGAGAAAGAGGUGGGGGUGGGGUGUUAUUUAGGGUCAAAAUACAAAGUAGUAACAAUUCGUUGUCCUUUCAAAGAAAAUAUUAUUCAAACUUCAUUCUGAUUUAUAAAUAAGCACAUGUCACGUAUGUCAGGAAUCCAUCACAUUUUACUGAGUAUUUAAAAUUUCAUUUGUUUUCCCUCUUAGUUCUUUCACAUUAGAUCCAGCAGUUGAGAUACAUUUUGCUUGUGCUGCAGUUUUCUAUUAUGGAUAUGUAAUGUGUCUAAUAAAGAAAUGAGAAACUAAAAUUGUUGCUUUUUCCUCCUGCCCCUCAUUUCUUUUUCUCAUGCUGUGAGAAAGGUCUUCUGUUUAUUAUAUAAUUCUUCAAAGGAAAAAGUUGUCUAUGUAUUAAUUAUGCAGUAACAUAAGAGGAAUUUUUUAUGAUUUUUAAAAAUUUCCUUAGGUUUUGGGGAAACAGGUGGUGUUUGGUUCAUGAGUAAGUUCUUCAGUGGUGAUUUGUGAGAUUUUGGUGCACCCAUCACCCGAGAAGUGUUCACUGUACCUAAUUUGUAGUCUUUUACCCCUCACACCCCUCCCAACAUUUCCCCCAAGUUCCCAAAGUCCAUUGUAUCAUUUUUAUGCUUUUGCAUCCUCAUUGCUUAGCUCCCACUUAUGAGUGAGAACAUAUGAUAUUUGGUUUUCCAUUUCUGGGUUACUUUACUUAAAAUAAUGGUCUCCAAUUCCAUUCAGGUUG